CCCUUGUUGAGCACAGAUGCGAGUAAUGAGGCCUUGUUCUUUCCUUCUCCCUGGACAGCACUAAGGCACGGAGCUUGUGCCAGGGUGGAGCAGUCCCAGCACGACCCGUUAAUUAAAAUAGAGGACAGGCCUCGGAGCAGGGGCAGGUGCAGGUGGCCUGGCUCAGGGAGAGGAGAGGCGUCCCUGUCGCCGUGACCGAGAGGCCUGCCUGCUGGGGCUCCUAGGCCCCUGGGCUGGUUUCCUGGCAGCCUGGCAGUCAGGGACAGCUGACAACCGCCCGCCUGCCAGGGUGGAGCAGGGGCCUGGGGGCUCGGGUGAGUGGCUCACUCUCUCACUGGUUUCUGCCUGCCCUGCACUCACUGCGUAGCCUCGGCUGGGCUGGACUUGGGACCCUCUCGUUCCCCUGAGUGGUGGGGUCGCCGUGUAGGCCACCGUGCCUGGCUCGUCACGUUCUUAAGCCUGCACAGUGACGGUUGUGGUCUCUUCUGGUUUUGAGCAGAAUAUACUGUGACGUCGUCGUCAGGAGGAAGUUGGGGCCCGAGUGCACUCAGGGGGGUCACCUGGACCCAGCCAGGCCCCUCUCCACCCCUGCCAAGCUCAGGCUCCACGAUGGGCUGGACUGCCCGGCCCAGGCAAGGGGACCCAGGGGCCACAGCUUUGAAGCUGGAGCCGAAGCCAGUGCUUCCUUCUUCACGUUGUUUAUGCUGGGUGUUUGGUGACCGAAGACACCCAAACCGCUGGCACAUCCGUAUUUCAGGCCCCAGUGACAGGGAGAGGGACUGGAAGAGGUGUCUGCCCUGGCCACAGCAAGACAGGGGAGGGCACUGUGAGCCUGAACGAGACCCGGGGUCCCGGAGACUGAGUCCUCGCUGCAGGAGGGUCCGGUGACCCUGAGGCUCUGGGGAGACUGGCCUGGAAGGAGCUGAGGGUGGCAGGGGGCUAGGGUGCGGUUGGAGGAGGAAGAAGCCCAGAGAGGGCGACUGUGGCGGGAGAGGAACAGGAGGUGCUGGUGACAGGACUCUGUGAGGGGCCAGGGGAGCGUGCUCAGGAAAGAUCCACCCAGCAACGACGUGACAGGGCUCAGAGUGGGCUGGCGAGCUGGGGAGGAAAGAUUGGAGGGAUGAGGCAGAGCGGUCCAGGAAGAGGGCACCGCAGCGGGUAGGCCGCCGUCCCAGGGCUCCGGGGGUGACAGGGGCUACCGGGCUACCGGCGACGUUGACACGGACAGUCCCAGAAAAGCAGCCUGUGCAAAGAAGCGAUGCAGGAGAGAAGUGAAGGUAGUCCGGCUGUUCUUUCAAAAAAUGCACACGUGGGGCCGGGAUUUAGCUCAGUGGUUCCACCGCCUGCCUGGAAAGCGCAAGGACCAGAGUUCGAUCCCUGGUACCAAAAAAAAAAAAAAGAUGUACACGUGCCAGGCCCAGUGACACACAUCCGUAAUCCCACCUACUGGAGAGGCUGAGGCAGGAGGAUGACAAGUUUGACACCAGCCUUGGCAACCCUGUCUCAAAAUAAAAAUUAACAGAGUAGCUCGGUGUAGACACAGCCCGCGCCCAAGGCUGCCAAGAAAAAGAAAAAGGCACAAGCAGAAAGAAAGAGGGCUCAGUGAGGGGAAAGCUGGAGGCCCAGGAAGACGUCGUCCGGGUGUCGGUGUGUCGGGAUGAGAGCCCUUGGCGCGAGUGGGUGAAGGGUCCAGUGGAGAGAGACCUGUGGGAGUUAAAGGUGCGAGGACGAGAAGUAAGCAACGGAGACGGGGUGGGAGGGGAGCAGGCCAAUAACACUGGAAAGCGGCAUGGAUUCUUCUCCACAGGAGGAAGGAGGGAAAUGGACAGGAGGGCGGAGGGAGCUGGAGGGGUUAGUGGCUCCUGCUCCGCUGACUCCGGAGAAACAAAGCAGGGGGCCCGGGAUUGGGGGGGGGGGGGAUACGGUGUGUGUGCAUGUGUGUGUUCAGAUGGAGAGAGACAGGCACGGAGGAGUUGGCGGGCAGAGACUGACUAUGGGGAACGCACUCGCUUGAUCACGGAGGCCACGGGGCUCCUGACCUUGCAGCGCCAUCUGGACACGGGAGACCCAGGGAAGCUGGUGCGGAAAUCCCAGUCUGUGCCCAAAGGCCUGAGAGCAGGAGGCAGUGCUGCCAAUUCCAUUCCAUCCGCGGGCAGGAGGCGCCACCCUGGCUGGCCCGGCAGGCUGACUGGCCAAGGGGCGAAUUCCCGCCCCCGCCCUGUGCUCUUCCCCUCUCCUGGACUGGGUGGUGCCAGCCACAGGCAGGGCAUCUGCUUUCUGGGCCCUCGCUCUGUCUCACCGGGGACACCCACAGGCACACCAGGAAUGAGGUCUCAUCCGGCAACACAGAUUUAACACACAUGCACAAAACGUGGGAUCGCCACUUGGCUAAAAGAUCUUGAAAGAAUAUCUCAGGGCCGUGCCUUACUGUGUGAGCUCCCGAAAUCAAGGUGCCAGGGCGCUGCUAUGGGAGGUGCUGUGGACCCAAAGGAGGGGCCUGGCAGGAGGCCUGCAGCUCUUCGAGGACGUGGCUUGGUGGAGGCCCAGCCUUUUGGCUAAGAGCGGAGAACGUCGUGCCUGGCAAUCCUAAGCACUGCUGGAUGGAUGGAUGAACAAACGGGAAGAUGGACUGGGCCAGAUUCUCAGAGUGUUUAAGCAGGACACGAGCAUGCCUGUGCUUCUGCCCCGCAGACAUUUACCCGGGACUUCUGCCUAACGGUUGACUGCCAUGCCUACGUGUGGAAUUCGGUCCGUUGAUGUCUCCUAGAAACACUGCUGCUAGUGCUGCUGCUGCUGCUGCUGCUGCUGCUGCUGUGUGCUCUUCCUUCGGCUUCCAUGAGCUCCUUGACUGGCAGUGUCCCCAGGGCUCCAUUUGUCGCUUGGCUGCAGGCACUGGGUGCUGGUCUACAAGCUCCCUCUGGGCCCGGCGCCCUUUCUCACUGUGCAGCAGCAGAGGGCAUUGUCUAGGUACAGCUGCCAACGGUGGACUGCAGAAAGCGUAAUGCUGAGUCACUGCCCAUCAGCGAGCACUGUACGGGUUAAGGAGUAAUCUGGGAUGGGAGCGGCUGCCCAGAGGUGAACUGCGUCACUGCUUGUCAUUUCCACCCUACAAGAAGGAGUGUAUAGGGCUGGUCAGAAAAUAGGUGUGGGGCGGGGGAUUCAGCUCAGUGGUUCUGGUGCCUGCCUCCCAAGUGCAAGGCCCAGAGUUGAUCCCCAGUACCAAAAAGCAAAGCAAAACAAAUAUGGUGUGUUUCAAAUAAAAGAAAAAUUAUUGCAAUAAAAGACACAUUGGCAUCAAUCCCCCUCAGAAUCCUCCCCCUCACUUUGAACACACUUAUCCCAUUUUCUUGCCGCUUUCUGAAGCAGUUCUGGAGUCCUCUUUCAUGAGUGUCUUUACAAGGUGUAAUAAAAAAUAUGAGGAAUGCUGAUGCUGAGUGUCAUCCAACGGAAAACAUAAAAACACCACAGUGUGUUCUCAUCUACUUCAUUCACCACACCCAGCACUGUGGGACUUUUGGUUCUUCUCAAAAGUCAAAAUGACCAUGAAAGACGAACAGUUUGAUUCAAUUCAGGGCACUGAGGCAGACACAACAGUACAACUAGAAAAAUUCAUGAAAGAGGACUCGAAAACUGCUUCAGAAAGGAACAAGAAAAUGGAAUAAAUGUGUUUAAAGUAAGGGCAAGUGUGUUGAGAGGGAUUCAUAGCAAUGUAUCUUUUAUUAUAGUAAAUUUUUUAAAACUUAAAAAUUCAUAUUUUAAUGAUACUUCAAACAUCAUAUUAACUUUAUUCACUUCAUAGAUGUAUUACAUUGGGGUGCAGCUCUGUGGCAGAUCGCUUGCCGAACACAUACAAGAUAGCUCGAGAGUCAAUCCCCAACCCUGAAAAAAAUUACCUCAAAUGCUAAUGACAUUCGAUGGACUCCAAAACAUUUUUAAAUGAAAAAAUUGGAAGAGAUAAUUAAUAAGGAUUCGUCUAGCUUUUUGAUGAGCGUAUGAAGUCUUUGCAAGCUCUUACUGUUUCUCCAGGUGAGUCCUAUCUCCAUACAUGGUCACAAUUUCCUUCCCUGUCACCAGAAGGAACCGCACUCACCUGUGUGCCGUCAGAACAGCUCAAACAUCCAUCACACAGGCUGCCCGAGCCUGAGGGGAGCUGCUGCUUCAAGACGUUUGCUGUUCCUCAGCCUUGCUCAUGAUUUGCUAGGAGGUCGUCAUGCUGUCCUUCUGUGCUUCCCUCCGGUCCCAGACAGACCUGUUACUGGUCCACACUGCUCUGCACCCAUGGUCCCGUCUGCCCUGCUCUUCCCCUCCUUCGCCACCAUGCCCUUUUCUCGUCUCUCCUUGUCAAGCUCUUGCUCAGAUUCCCAAUUUCUAGGCUAGCGCUGACAUUCUCUGUCACCUUGUUUUUUGCUAUUCUUAUAUAGGAUUCUGUUUCUUUAUUAGUGCAUGUUGAUUACACCAAAUAAUGGGUGUCACCGCGGCAUAUUCAUGUGCACAUCCAUCCCCAUCAUACUUCAGUCAGGUCUGUCCCAGAGCCUUCUUCACCUCCCUCCAUCCCUUCCUCUCCUCUGUCUUCUUUCCAGAAGUCUGUGUUCUUUCACAUCAUCUCUUUUUUCUAUGCAUGAAAGAAAACAUGUGAUACUUGUCUUUCUGUAUCUAACUUACUUUACUCAACAUGUUGAUCUUCAGUUCUAUUUUUUUACAAAUGACAUAAUUUCAUUCCUCACUGUGACUGACUAAAGCUCCAUCGUGUAUGGAUUUCACUGUUUCUCCAGUCAUCUGUUGAAGGGGCAUCCAGGCUGGUUCCGUAACUUGGCGAUGUGACUUGUGCUGCAGCAAACAUGGAUGUGCAGGUAUCUCCACAGUAUGCUGACUUUAAUUCCUUUGAGUACAUACCUAGGAGGGAGGUAGUUGGAUCAUACUGUAGUUUUUUUUUUUUUUUUGGUUUUUAAUAUGAGUUCUAUAAAUACCUGAGUCCUGUGAUUUCCUUAUUUGCUUUGCAGUUCAUUUGCUUGGGAGGUGUGGGAAGAUUGUCUUAAAAAGGUGAAUUCCUCAUAUGACAGAGUCUGGCCACAGUGGGAUCUGAUCACACAAACGACCCAGGUGUUCUGAUGAAAGUUGCUGUCCACGCUUCAGGCAGUGUUUAGGAUUUAAAUGAAUGAGCUUCAGGGGAUCUGUGAACCUUCAGAAUUUUUUUACAUUCUAUAUCUUUAUGUCCAUUUGUAUUUUUCUAAGGGAAGGUUUCCUAACUUUCAACAGACUAUUAAAGGAGCCUGUGUCAGAAUUUUUUAAAAAGCAAUCUAUUAAACCAUUAAAUGAGGGUUUCAGAUAAAAGAAAACUUCUUUGUUAUUUGAGGACUAAAACAUAAAUUCAAUAUUGAGGUCUGAUACAUACAUUUUACUGUACAGGGUACUUUGAGACAUCACACACACAGAUCAUGCCUUUCAGAUUGGCUAAGGACACAUGCACACCUGGGCUGCUUUGUUUCAAGGUCUAGAGCCCCAAGGCCUAGCAUCAAAGAGGCGGCACGUGUCUAUCAUGUUGGAGGAAAGAGUGUGCCGAAUUCCAUCCGCGAUUUUCAUGAAAUCAGUAGCUAGAGGAUUAAGAGUCUUGUCUGCAGAUUCUGCCUGGAAAAGAGACAGCCCUGAAGUGUAAACAGUUUUGUGCACCAAGAUCAGUGUAGAGCCUGGUCUCUCAUUCAUCAUGUUCUGGCUCUGUAAUUCUAGACACGUCAUUAGUAUUCCUGGGCUUCUGACGAUGGACUUCUUAUAGCAAUAGUGAUCUUUCUGCCAGGACAUAGGAUCCUAUGAUAUCAUGAGGCUCCCCAGAAUAUAGGCAUGGAUGCAGGUAUACAUACACACAAACCUAUAUACGUAUAUAUGCACACAUACAUAAGAUAUGUAUAAGUGGUGAAGCCCAACCGACCUCCAUUGCUGCUUGACAAAGUUCCAGCUGGGGGAAAGAAAGCAGGGAACACAUCGUACCCUCAUGUUUUAUUUUUUUCUUGCCAUAAUGUUUAUAAUUGUUACUCUGGUCACGGGAGUCAUUGUGUUUGUGACUAACAACAAACUCUCCAUGAGGCAAAUUGGCAAUGAUAUAUUGAAAUCUGAUCUGGCUCAAAAGUCUCAAAUUCCAGUUUCUCUUAGUUCUAUUGCCACAUCCACUCCUAAAGAAACCUCUCCUAAAACCCCCUCUGUUUUCCCACUAUUAUAACUCCCUCUCUUACUGCUGACAUUCUUUUUACUAAAGGGGUCUUAUAAAGAGAUUGAAAGGACAGACUUUAGAUGUAAGAAAUAGUGGGAAAUGGGAAAUAAAAAGAACGUUAAAACAGGUAAAUGCAUUAAGGAGGCAAGUUACUCAAUAUUUCUCAAAGUGCUGUAAAUAUCUCCUGCUCAUGGACUAUGAACCCAAAUGACAUUUAGUUAAGAUGAAUAGAGGUAAAAAGAACAUAGAGAGCUAAUAGCAAACUGUAUUAACCAUUGUGCAGUUUCUCAAGGGCUAGCUGGUGACCACAAGUUUGACAUUUAAUUUGAUUGUUACUUUCUGUUCUGCUUAGGUAUGGGACAAUGAGGGAACAAUUGCAGUUUUUAAGAAAUGUAUUCAUGAUGUUCAAUGAAAUGAAUCAGCUUAGAAAAAAUAUACUGUUUAACAAAAAUAACCUGUACCUCAUCAGAUAUUGCUAAGGCAACAUGUUCCGCCCAAUGCCUCUUCGCUAUUGCUUAAAGAUAUAAAAAUAAAUCAGACCCUGAGACUUCUCAGAGGGAACCUGAACAUUGCUUGUAAAGGUUCUUUUCUCAUCGCUGGCCCAGGACAUCUCCCCUUCCUACCCUACAUCGACUGCAGCUGGUCUGCGACAUAUAAGAUUACUUACACUCAGGCACUGGAAAUGUAGACGAGUAUAAAGAAAUAAAAAUUCUCUAUAGUACAUCCCAGAGGUAACAGCUCUCAUCCAGUGUCUUUUUGUUCCUAAGUAAAAAUUCAGGCAGCCCUCAUUUUAGCUAGGCAUUGUCUAGAGACAUUCAACAUGUGUCUGAUAAAAUGAUACAGAAGCUAGGUACAGCACGUGCCUGUAGUCCCAGAUACUUGGGAGGUUGAGGCAGGAGGGCGGCUUGAGCCUAGGAGCUGCAGGCCAACCUGGCCAACAUAGUGAGACACUGUUAAAAAUAAACCGUAAAAUAACAUGAUGCUUGUACCAUGUUUCAUUUUUAUUUAAAAAACAAAUGUUAGCUCAAGGGAUAGGAUGAAGUUGAGAAUUAUAUAAGUAAUAAAUGCAUAAGCACAGUGCUUAUAUUUAUAUAAACAAAACAUCAAAUGCACUCUGUACAGCAGCUAUACACUUGGGCAAUGUAUGAUCAUUUUUUAAUAAUAGGCAUCUUUUAUCACAAAACACAAGAAUACCAUGGGGCUGCCACCUUCUAGAUGCUAUUUCAGGAUGGAAACAAAACUGCAAAAAUCAGAGUCUACUUACUGAUUUGCAACACAUCCC
ensembl:lncRNA